rnacentral:rRNA from 1 species
CAGUAGCCGCGGGAAUACAGAGGGUGCGAGCGUUAAUCGGAUUUACUGGGCGUAAAGCGUGCGUAGGCGGCUUUUUAAGUCGGAUGUGAAAUCCCUGAGCUUAACUUAGGAAUUGCAUUCGAUACUGGGAAGCUAGAGUAUGGGAGAGGAUGGUAGAAUUCCAGGUGUAGCGGUGAAAUGCGUAGAGAUCUGGAGGAAUACCGAUGGCGAAGGCAGCCAUCUGACCUAAUACUGACGCUGAGGUACGAAAGCAUGGGGAGCAAACAGGAUUAGAUACCCCCGUAGUCCCUGUCUCUUAUAC